rnacentral:rRNA from 1 species
UACGAAGGGGGCUAGCGUUGCUCGGAAUCACUGGGCGUAAAGGGUGCGUAGGCGGGUCUUUAAGUCAGGGGUGAAAUCCUGGAGCUCAACUCCAGAACUGCCUUUGAUACUGAGGAUCUUGAGUUCGGAAGAGGUGAGUGGAACUGCGAGUGUAGAGGUGAAAUUCGUAGAUAUUCGCAAGAACACCAGUGGCGAAGGCGGCUCACUGGUCCGGUACUGACGCUGAGGUGCGAAAGCGUGGGGAGCAACAGGG